AGAAGGAGCGAAGCUCUGGCCCGGCGUGGAGCGGGCGCACUACGGGGACGCUGGGCCGGGCACCGGGCUGUGUGGAGAAGUGAGCGCGCUCGUCUGACCCCCGUGCCCGCCACCCCGAGCCACCAACGGCGAUCUCCCAAGGCCUGCCCGAGGCCUCUGUCCUCUGUCCUCAGCCCCGCAGCGGCGACGUCUUGCACUCGGCGAGCUCGCCGCUCCCGACCCUCCCGCGCCCCCGCCCUGCCGCGCUGCUCCCCGCCCAGCCGCGGGUCUGUGGUCCAAGCCGCCCCGAAGCAGCCCCUUCCCAGGAGACGUGUCAACAUUUUUGGUGAAGAACUUGAAAGACUUCUUAAGAAGAAAUAUGAAGGGCACUGGUAUCCUGAAAAGCCAUACAAAGGAUCGGGGUUUAGAUGUAUACACAUAGGGGAGAAAGUGGACCCAGUGAUUGAACAAGCAUCCAAAGAGAGUGGUUUGGACAUUGAUGAUGUUCGUGGCAAUCUGCCACAGGAUCUUAGUGUUUGGAUCGACCCAUUUGAGGUUUCUUACCAAAUUGGUGAAAAGGGACCAGUGAAGGUGCUUUACGUGGAUGAUAAUAAUGAAAAUGGAUGUGAGUUGGAUAAGGAGAUCAAAAACAGCUUUAACCCAGAGGCCCAGGUUUUUAUGCCCAUAAGUGACCCAGCCUCAUCAGUGUCCAGCUCUCCAUCGCCUCCUUUUGGUCACUCUGCUGCUGUAAGCCCUACCUUCAUGCCCCGGUCCACUCAGCCUUUAACCUUUACCACUGCCACUUUUGCUGCCACCAAGUUCGGCUCUACCAAAAUGAAGAAUAGUGGCCGUAGCAACAAGGUUGCACGUACUUCUCCCAUCAACCUCGGCUUGAAUGUGAAUGACCUCU
rnacentral:sRNA from 1 species